AUUGAACGCUGGCGGCAGGCUUAACACAUGCAAGUCGAACGGAAACGAUGGUAGCUUGCUACCAGGCGUCGAGCGGCGGACGGGUGAGUAAUACUUAGGAAUCUACCUAGUAGUGGGGGAUAGCACGGGGAAACUCGUAUUAAUACCGCAUACGACCUACGGGAGAAAGGGGGCAGUUUACUGCUCUCGCUAUUGGAUGAGCCUAAGUCGGAUUAGCUAGAUGGUGGGGUAAAGGCCUACCAUGGCGACGAUCUGUAGCUGGCCUGAGAGGAUGAUCAGCCACACCGGGACUGAGACACGGCCCGGACUCCUACGGGAGGCAGCAGUGGGGAAUAUUGGACAAUGGGGGAAACCCUGAUCCAGCCAUGCCGCGUGUGUGAAGAAGGCCUUUUGGUUGUAAAGCACUUUAAGCAGUGAAGAAGACUCCGUGGUUAAUACCCACGGACGAUGACAUUAGCUGCAGAAUAAGCACCGGCUAACUCUGUGCCAGCAGCCGCGGUAAUACAGAGGGUGCAAGCGUUAAUCGGAAUUACUGGGCGUAAAGGGAGCGUAGGUGGCUCUAUAAGUCAGAUGUGAAAUCCCCGGGCUUAACCUGGGAACUGCAUCUGAAACUGUAGAGCUAGAGUAUGUGAGAGGGAGGUAGAAUUUCAGGUGUAGCGGUGAAAUGCGUAGAGAUCUGAAGGAAUACCGAUGGCGAAGGCAGCCUCCUGGCAUAAUACUGACACUGAGGCUCGAAAGCGUGGGUAGCAAACAGG
rnacentral:rRNA from 1 species